AAACGUAUUCAUAGGGAGAAAGAAGGGACAAAUGACAGGCAUCAGAAGUAGUAGAACACAUGUUUUCUCACGUACCAGAAGAUGAUCCUGAUGUUGGAACAAGACGGCUAUUCUUAUUCAGUGUGACUCCCAGGCUGCAAAGUGAAAGCCAUUCAAGGAAAAGAGAAGAAAUGUAUAUGUCAGAAGAAGCAGAUGAAAGAAGUCCUUUAAUACCCAGG